CCUACGGGUGGCAGCAGUCGAGAAUCAUUCACAAUGGGGGAAACCCUGAUGCAGCGACGCCGCGUGGAGGAAGGAAGGCCUUCGGAUUGUAAACUCCUGUCAUGUGGGAGCAAAUUAAAAAGAGAGUACCGCAAGAGAGAGAGACGGCUAACUCGGUGCCAGCAGCCGCGGUAAUACAGAGGUCUCAAGCGUUGUUCGGAAUCACUGGGCGUAAAGUGUGCGUAGGCGGUUUCGUAAGUCGGGUGUGAAAGGCGCGGGCUCAACCCGAGGACGGCACAUGAUACUGGGAGCCUAGAGUAAUGUAGGGGGAACCGGAAUUCUAGGUGUAGCAGUGAAAUGCGUAGAUAUCGCGAGGAACACUGGUGGCGAAGGCGGGUUCCUGGACAUUAACUGACGCUGAGGCACGAAGGCCUGGGGAGCGAAAAGGAUUAGAUACCCCAGUAGUC
rnacentral:rRNA from 1 species